CCUCAAUGGGACGGGCUCUUGUGCUGCCCUGCAAGGACAGCACACCAGGCUGUGUGUCCCUGCCCACACUGAGGGGACAGUGCCCGUGCUGGGGGACAGACAGUGCCCUGCACAAAAUGCUGCAGGGUUCAGCAAAAUGGUGAUGUGGAAAGCCAGCAACAGCAUUUUGUCUUACUACCUCCUUCAUGUAUCAGCAGCAUUGAAUAAGGUAAUUGCUUCCCCAGCUGAAGCUUCUCUGAAGAACCAUGAUAAAGAAGUUAUAUAUGAAGAUUUAAUCUGGGAGAAAAACACUCGGCAAGGAAAGGAAUGUGAAUAGUGAUGGAUGAGAGGAGCAUUGAAUUUCCUGCAAACACUCAUCCACUCUUUCUGUGACUGGGCUUCAGCUGCAUUCUCAUGUAUUUGUGCUUUCCAUUAAUGCUGCACGACAGUACAAAUGCCAGUGGAAGCUGGGUGCCCUUGGAUUCACCUCUCAGGUGAGGUUUGCCCUCCUUCACCACAGGAGAGAAGAAGCCUGGCAGCAGGAAGACCAAAAGAUUAAAAUAGAAUAUUCUGGAAUCAUAUCAAGAUGGAACAAAGAAUCUGUGCAUUAUCAACCAAGACCUAUUCCUGGAAAUUCAGUAUGCCAGCUCACCUCCCAAGCAUGCUCAGAUGAGAUUUCUGUGACUAAAAACCAGAGCAUCCUGAUGCCACAAGACACUCGCUCACAUCACCAAUAGAUUGUGACCUUUACUCUGCAUAAGCAUAUUAACAGACUGGGCCAUUUUACAAAUUACACUGCAUUCCUGAAUAGUGAAAUAAAAUGUCAGAAAAGCUCA
rnacentral:lncRNA from 1 species